GAACAUCCUUUAAUUUGCUUGACAUAUUUGUCCACCAAGAAAGGAAGGUGUACACUGAAUUUUCCAUGCUUAUUCGUCUUCACUUCCUGUUGGUAAAGAAUGAGAAUUACCAAGAGGAGACAGUUGGGUCCUUGUUGGUUCACGAGACCUCUGUAGGACUUACAAAAUUCUUGAUAUUAUGAAAUUAUGAUACGGUUGGUCCAAUUUGCUUGCGCACAAAGGCAAAGGUGGAUUCAGGAUUCAAAUUCUAACUUUUAAGAUUUUAUAUUGAACCCAUUAUAUUUUUAAAGUUAUGCAUUUAUAUCUAAUAUUUGUUAUAAUUUUAUUGAAUUUUUACACAUAAAUUUAUGUUCCACGUCAAAAAUACUAGAUUCAGAUGAACUCGGUACUGUAAGGGUGGAUCCGCCCUGCACAGGGGGAGCAACAUGGUUCGAAGGAGUUCAAUUGAUUUCUUUCAUUAAAAAAUUACGUUGUACAAAAUAGAAUAGACCUACAAAAUAGUAUGGGUCUUGGUUAUCCAACUUUUAAGCUGGUAGAGGCCACGAGAUUGUUGCUUA